rnacentral:tRNA from 1 species
GGGCCUGUAGCUCAGAGGAUUAGAGCACGUGGCUACGAACCACGGUGUCGGGGGUUCGGCUCCCUCCUCGCCCA